AUUGAACGCUGGCGGCAUGCCUUACACAUGCAAGUCGAACGGUAACAGGUCUUCGGAUGCUGACGAGUGGCGAACGGGUGAGUAAUACAUCGGAACGUGCCCGAUCGUGGGGGAUAACGCAGCGAAAGCUGUGCUAAUACCGCAUACGAUCUACGGAUGAAAGCGGGGGAUCGCAAGACCUCGCGCGGACGGAGCGGCCGAUGGCAGAUUAGGUAGUUGGUGGGAUAAAAGCUUACCAAGCCGACGAUCUGUAGCUGGUCUGAGAGACGACCAGCCACACUGGGACUGAGACACGGCCCAGACUCCUACGGGAGGCAGCAGUGGGGAAUUUUGGACAAUGGGCGCAAGCCUGAUCCAGCCAUGCCCGCGUGCAGGAUGAAGG
rnacentral:rRNA from 1 species